rnacentral:lncRNA from 1 species
GGAGACGGCGCACGCCCUGCCACGCGGAGCACGGGUAGCUUGCAGCAGAGCUUCAAGCCAGGACAGGUGUGAUCGCAUCAAUCUUGUGUUCACGCUAAGCCACGGUGUCUAAGGACCUGCACGGAUUGCGCGGGAGCACAACAGUGCAAGAAGAAAACUGCCUCCCCUCACAAGCAGGCGGCUGUAAGCUAGCACGGGGUGCAGACGGCACAGGACGCAGACGGCAUGGGACGCAGACGGCACAGGAUGCAGACGGCACAGAACACAGACGGCACAGAACACAGACGGCAUGGGACGCAGACAGCCCAGGAUGCAGAUGGCACGGGGUGCAGACAGCACAGGACACAGAUGGCACAGGAUGCAGACGGCACAGAACACAGACGGCACAGAACACAGACGGCAUGGGACGCAGACAGCCCAGGAUGCAGAUGGCACGGGGUGCAGACAGCACAGGACACAGAUGGCACAGGGUGCAGAUGGCACAGAACACAGACGGCACAGAACACAGACGGCAUGGGACGCAGACAGCCCAGGAUGCAGAUGGCACGGGGUGCAGACAGCACAGGACACAGAUGGCACAGGAUGCAGACGGCACAGAACACAGACGGCACAGAACACAGACGGCAUGGGACGCAGACAGCCCAGGAUGCAGAUGGCACGGGGUGCAGACAGCACAGGACACAGAUGGCACAGGGUGCAGAUGGCACAGGAUGCAGAUGGCACAGGGUGCAGAUGGCACAGGGUGCAGAUGGCAUAGGGUGCAGAUGGCACAGGGUGCAGAUGGCACAGGGUGCAGACAGCAUGGGGUGCACAUGGCAUGGGACCCGGGAGCCUGCUCAGUCACCAGCAAAAACCGCUGCACCAGGAGCCUCACUGAGAAUCGAUGUUUGGCUUAAGAGCACAGUGGAAGAACUGCCCAGCUGCAACCCCCCGUCCCCAGAAGGUGACAAAAUGAGUGCUGUCAGGCACAGUAAGCACCAUGGUCACCUUCCGCUGGGACAGCUGCCUCUGGGUCACAGGCCACUGCUGCAGGUCACCCACCCACCCCAUCUCCACUACCCAGCAGCAGCUGUCACUCACUCAGGAGCACAGGCAUUGGGGGUGUCUCAGGCCACUGCUGCGGGUCACCCACCCACCCCAUCUCCACUACCCAGCCACCGCUGUCACUCAGGAGCACAGGCGCUGGGUGGGGUGCCCGGACUCUCCACUCCCACGGUUUGCAGUCACCACCGCCUUUCUCCCCGCUGUGGCUGUAUGGAGUACCGGUCUACUUCUAAUUCUGCAAUCACAGACACCC